UGCAGUAACCUGGAGAGUCCACCAUCAGCUG
rnacentral:piRNA from 1 species